rnacentral:rRNA from 1 species
UACGAAGGGGGCUAGCGUUGCUCGGAAUUACUGGGCGUAAAGCGCGCGUAGGCGGCUUUCUAAGUCGGGGGUGAAAUCCUGGAGCUCAACUCCAGAACUGCCUUCGAUACUGGAGAGCUUGAGUCCGGGAGAGGUGAGUGGAACUGCGAGUGUAGAGGUGAAAUUCGUAGAUAUUCGCAAGAACACCAGUGGCGAAGGCGGCUCACUGGCCCGGAACUGACGCUGAGAUGCGAAAGCGUGGGGAGCAAACAGG